UUUGUUGACGUGUUACCAUUUGGCAACAAGGAGACGACAAGGAAAGGAAAAAGCAGUUACCUGAAAGCGAAGAAGCUGUGGAGAAGGAAAGGCAAAGGGAGAAUGUGAGUGUGAAUUUGAAUGGGGAAUCAGAAGCAGAAGUGGACGCAGGACGAAGAAGACGCGCUCAUCGCCGGAGUUGAAAAGCACGGUCCCGGAAAGUGGAAGAAUAUUCUCAAAGAUCCCCAAUUCGCCCCUUUUCUCACUUCCCGUUCCAACAUCGACCUCAAGGACAAAUGGCGGAAUUUGAGCGUCAGUAACGGUUCUCAAGGUUCCAAAGACAAACCUAGGGCUCCCAAGCUCAAGGCUCUUCCUGCUCCUCCUUCUGCUACCACCUCUGCCGCCACCACCGCUACACCUCAGAACGCGGCUUCUGCUCCACAAAACGCACCGUCAGAUGCAGCUGUCCCGGAUUCUUCUCUGAAUGACCAAGAUGUCAAAAACCCUCCGAGGUAUAAUGCAAUGGUUUUUGAAGCUCUAUCAGCACUAAAAGAUAAUAAUGGAUCUGACCUAAAUGCCAUUGUUAGUUUCAUCGAGCAAAAACAUCAGGUUCCUCAAAAUUUUAGAAGGGCAUUAAGUACAAGGUUGAGAAGGCUUGUUAGUCAAGGAAAACUUGAAAAGAGCAAGCAUCUGCCUCCUCCUAUGCUCCUUCAAUUUUGUUCUCUUAUUUCGAAGUUGCUAAACUUGGACUCUAUCUGUUCCUCUUCUUCCAAUAGUACAAAAUUGUUACAAAAUAAAAAAAGAUGCCCCCUCAGGAACAAAAUCACCUUCACCAAAACCAAAGGAUGUCCGGCCAGCACCGUCACAACCUGCACCACAACCGCAGUGGCACUCCUCAGUUUCUGUCUUUACAGCAUCUAAUGAGACAAUAAAAGAUGCUGCUGAUACUGCAGCCUACAGAAUUGCUGAUGCUGAAAGUAAGUCAUAUCUGGCUGCGGAAGCAGUAAAGGAGGCAGAGAAAAUAUCAUUGCUGGUUGAGCAUAGUGAUUCAAUGUUGCAGCUAGCAAAAGACAUAUAUGAACAAUGUUCUCGUGGUGAAAUUAUCCUUUUGGCUUAAGAUGGUCAACGGAAGGUCUAUAAAUAGAUUUAUCCUGAUGUUGGUUUCUAAAUGUAAAAUUGUCUAUCCGAUGAGAUACUAUUUUAUAACAUUUUUGGGCGUAUUUUAUCAGCACUCCGAAAGCAUGUUACAUAUAUUAAACAGCACUGUCUUCUGCGGAUGUGGGGGUUGAUUUAGAGAAUCCGAAGAGAGUGAGGUUUUCAACUUUGAA